rnacentral:tRNA from 1 species
GGUAGAAUGGCUGAACAUAGGCGUUAGACUGUAAAUCUAAAUAUAAAGGUUUAUAUCCCUUUUUCUACCA